UGGGAGGCUUUGAAGCGUGGACGCCAGUCUGCGUGGAGCCGACCUUGAAAUACCACCCUUUAAUGUUUGAUGUUCUAACGUGGAUCCGUAAUCCGGGUUGCGGACAGUGUCUGGUGGGUAGUUUGACUGGGGCGGUCUCCUCCUAAAGAGUAACGGAGGAGCACGAAGGUUGGCUAAUCCUGGUCGGACAUCAGGAGGUUAGUGCAAUGGCAUAAGCCAGCUUGACUGCGAGCGUGACGGCGCGAGCAGGUGCGAAAGCAGGUCAUAGUGAUCCGGUGGUUCUGAAUGGAAGGGCCAUCGCUCAACGGAUAAAAGGUACUCCGGGGAUAACAGGCUGAUACCGCCCAAGAGUUCAUAUCGACGGCGGUGUUUGGCACCUCGAUGUCGGCUCAUCACAUCCUGGGGCUGAAGUAGGUCCCAAGGGUAUGGCUGUUCGCCAUUUAAAGUGGUACGCGAGCUGGGUUUAGAACGUCGUGAGACAGUUCGGUCCCUAUCUGCCGUGGGCGCUGGAGAACUGAGGGGGGCUGCUCCUAGUACGAGAGGACCGGAGUGGACGCAUCACUGGUGUUCGGGUUGUCAUGCCAAUGGCACUGCCCGGUAGCUAAAUGCGGAAGAGAUAAGUGCUGAAAGCAUCUAAGCACGAAACUUGCCCCGAG
rnacentral:rRNA from 1 species